rnacentral:rRNA from 1 species
GCUAUACAUGCAAGUCGAACGCACAGCGAAAGGUGCUUGCACCUUUCAAGUGAGUGGCGAACGGGUGAGUAACACGUGGACAACCUGCCUCAAGGCUGGGGAUAACAUUUGGAAACAGAUGCUAAUACCGAAUGAAACUUAGUGUCGCAUGAUACGAAGUUAAAAGGCGCUUUGGCGUUCMCCUAGAGAUGGWUCCGCGGKGCMUUAGUUAGUUGGUGGGGUAAAGGCCUACCAAGMCAAUGAKGCAUAGSCGAGUUGAGAGACUGAUCGGCCMCMUUGGGACUGAGACMCGGCCCAAAYUCCUACGGGAGGSUGCAGUAGGGRAUCUUUCCMCAAUGGGCGAAAGCCUGAUGGAGCAACCSCCGCGUGUGUGAUGAAGGCUUUCGGGUCGUAAAGCACUGUUGUAUGGGAAGAACAGCUAGAAUAGGGAAUGAUUUUAGUUUGACGGUACCAUACCAGAAAGGGACGGCUAAAUACGUGCCAGCAGCCGCGGUAAUACGUAUGUCCCGAGCGUUAUCCGGAUUUAUUGGGCGUAAAGCGAGCGCAGACGGUUGAUUAAGUCUGAUGUGAAAGCCCGGAGCUCAACUCCGGAAUGGCAUUGGAAACUGGUUAACUUGAGUGCAGUAGAGGUAAGUGGAACUCCAUGUGUAGCGGUGGAAUGCGUAGAUAUAUGGAAGAACACCAGUGGCGAAGGCGGCUUACUGGACUGUAACUGACGUUGAGGCUCGAAAGUGUGGGUAGCAAACAGGAUUAGAUACCCUGGUAGUCCACACCGUAAACGAUGAACACUAGGUGUUAGGAGGUUUCCGCCUCUUAGUGCCGAAGCUAACGCAUUAAGUGUUCCGCCUGGGGAGUACGACCGCAAGGUUGAAACUCAAAGGAAUUGACGGGGACCCGCACAAGCGGUGGAGCAUGUGGUUUAAUUCGAAGCAACGCGAAGAACCUUACCAGGGUCUUGACAUCCUUUGAAGCUUUUAGAGAUAGAAGUGUUCUCUUCGGAGACAAARUGACAGGUGGUGCAUGGUCGUCSUCAGCUCCGUGUCCGKGAGAUGUUGGGUUAAGUCCCGCAACGAGCGCAACCCUUAUUGUUAGUUGCCAGCAUUCARAUGGGCACUCUAAGCGARACUGCCGGUGAMAAACCGGAGGAAGGCGGGGACSACGUCMGAAUCAUCAUGCCCCUUAUGAMCUGGGGCUAACACACGKGCUAMAAUGGCGUAUACAMCGAGUUGCCMACCCSCSAGGGGKGASCUAAUCUCUUWAAGUACSYCUCCARUUCCGRAUUGUAGUUCYGCAACYCSMCUACAUGAASYCGGAAYCGCUAGUAAUCGCGGAAWMARMACGCCGCGGUGAAUACGUUCCCGGGUCUUGUACACACCGCCCGUCACACCAUGGGAGUUUGUAAUGCCCAAAGCCGGUGGCCUAACCUUUUAGGAAGGAGCCGUCUAA